rnacentral:lncRNA from 1 species
CUGUUCAAGGUUCCCCAUCUUUCUUGGCUAUUAACCAAUAUACUCAAGAAAAAGCUUUCAUCACUCCAAAAAAAAAAAAAAAAAUUUCAAGGGGGUUAGCACUUGAGGCAUUGUCUUCCUUAAAACACUUCCUAUUUGAUUCCCUCUGACAGCUGUUUAUGUUGAAGAUUACUAACAUUCCCAAAGUACUUCAUAGUAAAGAUUAAACCUGAAGAUUACAAAGGUUUAUGCAUUUUCACAUACUGUGAUGUGACCUUAAUCUACUUAAAUCUAAAGAAAAAAAGUCAUUUUACAAAGACCCAUUUAGCUAUUUCGACAUGAUUCUUUAUUUUUUUGGAUGCUUAUUUGGCAUAUGAGCCAGAAAUUUAAAAUGUAACAAAAAAUAUGUCUUGAAAAAAAUUAAAAACAGGCAUUUGCAGCACGAUGGAAAAGUUCUAUAGAGCUUUGAGGGAAGUCCAUUCAAUUUCACUGGCAUUCAUAAAUGAUGACUAAUGCAUUCAAAUAGAAUGAGUAAUUUACCAAAUUACAGACAUUUGGAUGGGCUCAGAAUGAAGAUGUUGUUUGUUUGGAUAUGUCCUGAAGUGAAUCUCAAUGAGGUUUACUUUGUUAUGCCUGACUCUACAAAUAGACUUCAGUCACAAUUUGAACAAAAGCCCUGACAUGUAAAUAAAUGUGCAAAUGAUGCCCAGCUACAUUAUUCUUUUUGUCCUCGGACCACUCAGGAACAGUCAACUCCAUUAAAAAAUAUCAGUCACAAAUAGAUGGCACCAUUGUACUUAUCACAAAAGCACCAUAAAAUAGGCUUCUCUUGGCAAGUUAUCAGUGUUAUACCCAUUCUCUUCACGCCACAAAAACCAAGUCCACACAUGCUACAAAAUACCUCUCCUAGCAGCCAUGGGCUACCCUACAAAAAGUGGACCCUCCACACUUGCAUGCUAGUGCCUCAUAAUAUUGGCAUCUCCUAUCGGACAGCACAAGAAAAGAGCUUUAAAAUUCAGAAUGCUUCUUUUAAAGGGCUUCCACCCACUGUUAUGAAGCAGAGAUGAAGGGCAACAGCAAACCCAAUUUCCAGUCACAACAACAUAUGCAUUGCUAAAUGUCUUGUGAUGGGGCUCAAACUCCAACACACUUUGGCAGUUUCUGUAAAGGUCAGAAAUUCCAGGUGAUAAUAUAAAAUCAAUCCUUCAUAUAAUUGUUUCAUAUGUAUCCCAAAAUGAAUUAGACCUACUAUACAUCUGGUCCAAAAAUUCUGAACAUUUGCUAAAGUUGACUGAAAAAAUAAAAAUAUAACCUUUGCCUCAUAAACUGAAUUGAAUUACUAACAAAUUAUUCUAGAGGUAAUCACUUCAUUACUUCAGCUACAAAAUCUACCUAAUUGGAUUUUGAUAAUCAGGGGAAAUCUUACUACUACCGUGUCCAAAGCAGUUCUGUCCAUUUUCCUGCCAGAAUGGUCAUGAUCCUGGCAACUGUUAGCCUGUUCAUUCUGAGGCUUCAUUCAAAUACAUAUAUACCACACCAAAUAUACCACAGAUACAGCAGAAAUGGUUCCUGAGACCUGGAGGAUACAAUCUUGCAUAGAAGAGAUAUGUUGACCAAGUGACUGGAGGAUCAUAAGGGCUGUAAAUUACCAGUACAAAAUUCUGUGGAAGAUUACCACAGAAUUACCACAGAUUCCCUUGUUCCCUAGUCUAAGGGAACAAGGAUGGCUUCUCUAAGGAGCGAUGUUUAAGCUGAGACUUGAAGGGUGGUGCUACUGACGAGGUGAGUAAGUAGCAUGAGCAGGUAGGAGGAUUCCAAGCCAAAGAAACAGGACAUCCAGAGGCUCCAGACGAAGGAGGAUGAUGUAUGUGGAACUGCACCGAGGCUAGUGUGGCUGGAGUAGAGAGAGGCAGGAAGUGUCUAAGGCUGAGGCACCAGAGGCAAGAGUCAGUCAGAUCAUCCUAGGCCUUAGAAACUUCUUAGAGCCUGUGGGUUUUAUUCCAGAGAUGACUAAAAGUCAUUAGAAGGUGGAAGAGUUUUGCUAGGGCUGCCUUGACGAAGUACCACAGACUGAGUGGCUGAACCAAUUCAUUUUCUCACAAUUCUGGAAUUUAGAAGCCCAAGAUCAUGAUGUCAGCAAGAAUGUUUUCUCACAAUUCUGGAAUUUAUUUUAUCACAAUUCUGGAAGUUAGAAGCCCAAGAUUGCGAUGCCAGCAAGGUUUUGGCAGAAAUGUGAAUAUAAGCAAGCAUACUAUGAGAUACAUGAUCCAGUCACUGUAACCUUCUUUGGAACUAGUAUUGAUCCAGCAGCAGCUUUCAGUACUGAUCCUAAAAACAAAUAAUAUGAUCGGAUCAGAUCAUCACAAAGGGAGCAGGAAUUUGAAGGAUGUAUCUGGGUUAUUCAAACCGAAAACACCUAACUCCAGUUCAUUAAAAAUCAUUUCAUAUUUGUAUAAAAAUAAUUUUUAAAAGAGUCUAGAUGUAGUUAUAAUUUUAAAAGUAGUCAUAUUUCUAGAACCUUCUUUAAAUUCUUGUUAUUUGAAUAUGAAAUUAUUGUAAAUCCAUUGAAUAAAUAACUAUAUUCAUAUAAAAUUUCAAACUAAUACAUACAUUAGAAGUAAGUAUAUUUAUUUCUCAUUGAGAUGAAAUAUUUUUGUCCCACAAUAUUAGAUUUGUAUAUGUG